ACUCGACUAGACGAGUAUAAACUACAUUAAGCCUAGUGCGUUAUAGCCGUAAAUAAGAAGUAAACGGCUAUAGGUUGUA
rnacentral:ribozyme from 3 species